rnacentral:rRNA from 1 species
UAGCAUAGUGAUUUGUCUUUUAAUUGGAGACUGGGAUGAAAGGUUAAACAAAGGGUAGUGUCUUUUUUGGUUGUAGUAAUUUAGAUUCAGUGUGAAAAUACUAAGAUAGUGUAAAGGGACGAUAAGACCCUAAAAGCUUUAUUUUUGUGUAUUUAGGUUAUGUUAAUAUUUGUAUUAGGUUUAGCUGGGGUAGUAGUUGUAUUUAAUCUAUGAUUUUAGGUUUUGCGGGGAGGAUUGGGUAGAGUUCUUUUAUAUAAGGAAAAUUCGAGAAAGUUACUUUAGGGUUAACAGCGUAAUAUUUUCGGAGAGAUCUUAUUUAUGGGAGUGAUUGCGACCUCGAUGUUGAAUUAUUAUUUCUUUUUGGAGCAUAGGCUAAGGAAGAGGGUUUGUUCAACCCUUAAAUUUUUACAUGAUUU